rnacentral:rRNA from 1 species
GCAGGCGCGAAACCUUUACACUGCACGACAGUGCGAUAGGGGGAUCCCAAGUGCACAGGCAUAGCGCCUGUGCUUUUCGGUACCCUAAGGCUGUACCAGAAUAAGGGCUGGGCAAGACCGGUGCCAGCCGCCGCGGUAAUACCGGCAGCCCAAGUGAUGGCCGAUCUUAUUGGGCCUAAAGCGUCCGUAGCUGGCCGUACAAGUCCAUCGGGAAAUCCACCUGCUCAACAGGUGGGCGCCCGGUAGAAACUGUGCGGCUUGGGACCGGAAGGCGCGACGGGUACGUCCGGGGUAGGAGUGAAAUCCCGUAAUCCUGGACGGACCGCCGAUGGCGAAAGCACGUCGCGAGAACGGAUCCGACAGUGAGGGACGAAAGCCAGGGUCUCGAACCGGAUUAGAUACCCGGGUAGUCCUGGCCGUAAACAAUGUCUGCUAGGUGUGGCUCCCACUACGAGUGGGUGCUGUGCCGUAGGGAAGCCGCUAAGCAGACCGCCUGGGAAGUACGUCCGCAAGGAUGAAACUUAAAGGAAUUGGCGGGGGAGCACUACAACCGGAGGAGCCUGCGGUUUAAUUGGAGUCAACGCCGG